GCCUAGUUCCUUAUAAUAAAUUCACAAGGUAAAAAUUAUAUACAAAUAAAUAUACUAAUUCUAUCAUUAUUACAAAAAUUUUAAAAUUAAAUAAAUAAUCUUAAUAAAAAACCUAAAAUAAUUAUAAAAUCAAAAUAGAAAAUAAUGAACUAAAACGUAAUCUUAAAGAUAGCUGGUUUAAAGCUUACUAUUAUAUUUUAUAAAAACAAAUUAUAGGUUAUUAACUUCAAAGCUUAUCCCUUAAAGAAUAAAUAAGUUAAUAUUUAUAAUUAAAAAAUUAAAUAAAAACAAUUAACUUUAAAAAAUUAAAAUUUUUCUUAAGAAACUAGAUAUCUUGGGAAACGAUUAACAUUUCAUUUCAAUAAAUAAUUUAAUAAUAAUUAUGAUACAUUAACUGUAAAUUAUUUAUAAAUCAACCCAAAUCGAGACAAGUAAAUUAAAUACUAAAAUUUUGAUAAACCCUGAUACAAAAGGUACAAUAAAUAAAAUAUACUUUUAAAAAUUUAAAAUAAUAUUUCAUAAAACAAUUACAUUACCAAUAAACUAUAAUUUAAAAAAUCAAUUCUACAAAAUAUACUAAGACAAAAUUCAAUAAAAUUAUUUCUAUUA
rnacentral:rRNA from 1 species